UACGGAGGGUGCGAGCGUUGUCCGGAAUCACUGGGCGUAAAGCGUACGUAGGCGGACCAUUAAGUCGGGGGUGAAAUCCCAGGGCUCAACCCUGGAACUGCCUUCGAUACUGGUGGUCUGGAGUCCGGGAGAGGUGAGUGGAACUCCGUAGUGUAGAGGUGAAAUUCGUAGAUAUUAGGAAGAACACCAGUGGCGAAGGCGGCUCGCUGGCCCGGUACUGACGCUGAGGUACGAAAGCGUGGGGGAGCAAACAGG
rnacentral:rRNA from 1 species